AUUCUGCCCUACGGGGAAGGAUGAGAAGCUUCGACUAAGGUUCGACUCGAGCGCCAGCGAGAGAACGUUGCCGCAGGCAACGGCCCGAAGGGCGAGGAGCGAUAGCGACGAGUUAUCCUUCCCCCACAACCA
rnacentral:sRNA from 1 species